rnacentral:rRNA from 1 species
GAUGAACGCUAGCGGCAGGCCUAAUACAUGCAAGUCGAGCGGCAAGUUGAGUAGUAAUACUUGACCUAGAGCGGCGCACGGGUGCGUAACGCGUAUGCAACCUACCUUUUACUGGGGGAUAGCCCGGAGAAAUCUGGAUUAAUACCCCAUGGUAUCUACGAAUCGAUUGGUUUGUAGCUUAAAGAUUUAUCGGUAAAAGAUGGGCAUGCGUCUGAUUAGCUAGUUGGCGGGUAACGGCCCACCAAGGCGACGAUCAGUAGGGGUUCUGAGAGGAAGGUCCCCCACACUGGCACUGAGAUACGGGCCAGACUCCUACGGGAGGCAGCAGUGAGGAAUAUUGGGCAAUGGGCGCUAGCCUGACCAGCCAUGCCGCGUGCAGGAAGACGGUCCUAUGGAUUGUAAACUGCUUUUGUACGGGAAGAAACCCUACUACGUGUAGUAGAUUGACGGUACCGUACGAAUAAGGAUCGGCUAACUCCGUG